AUAGGUGGGAAUAAACUGCAAAGGCAAUGAAGAUUCAGAUCUGUGGUUAAGUAGGCUUUCAUCAGAGUGCAAGAGCUCUCUAUCCACAGGUGUAGCAAGUCAGGAAACGGAGGAACAACCCAGGGCAUAGAUGGAUACAGAGGCUGUGGCUUUUGCUAUGCUGCAGCAUUUGCCAAGACUAUGAAGAGUUCGAUAGGCCUAAGAAAGAAACAGAACAACCUUUCAAGAGAAACCCAAGGACAACAGAGGACAUGGCCAGGAGAGACUUAUGUGGAAGAGCCUGGGCAGCCUGACCCUACCUCUCCAGCCUGCACACCACCUCUUUAUGAGCCGUCCCCUGUCUGUGCUGAACGCUGAUGGGAGUUGUUCUGCCUUCACCCUCAAUAGUGUAAAUCAGUUAUCAGACUGAUCUGUGCAAUAACAUCAAACUAAAACCUACAAGGGAUCUGGCGGUGUUAUUGGUGAAAAACUGCUCAGUUUAUAUCUUGAAUCCUUCUCAAAACAAGUUAUCCUUACUUGUGUAGAAGUAACGUAUUUUAGAACAUCUUUGGUAUAUUUUGUCUUUUCUGCAGGCUUUUGUAAAAUUAUUUUGUUAAAUAUCAGUUUGGAUUAUUUCCUUCCAUUUGUUGUGUCCCUCACGCUCCUUGCUUCAAACAUUUGUUUGCAGCUUGCCUGUUCUUUUUUGAGGUUUCAGUUUUCUUCAACUUGCUCCUUUGAAUAAUUCAAUCCACUGAAAAGGAUCUGCUUUCCUUCAGAGCUUUCAAUCAGCAAGUGAUGUUCACCACUUAUGCUCUAAUUGCCUUUCCCAAAUUGAAGUUAGAAUCUUUUCUGCAAUCUUGUUAUUUCUUUUGGCUCUCUGUUACAAUGUUUACCUCAAAUUAAGGAUUCCAUAAGCCCUCCAAAUGGCACAGUUGAUUCAACAGUCACAACUCUGUUCUCAAAACCUCAACAGUCUUUUUUUUUCUCAUCUUUUUGAGUUCUCAUGUGAUAUUUUUGUCAUCAUCACAAGAUCUCACAAAAAAUUUUUUCUUCAUCUAGAAGAAUGACGUUUUUUAGCUGUCUUGAUCACAAUCUCAUCUCCAGCUUGCUCUGAAUUUAUAUGCAUGUUAUCAUAUGAGGUUUCUGCUUCUCUCAUUGAAAGUCUAUCUUUAAUUUCCUUAGUCUUAGCAAAGACCCUAAUACCAUAAAUGCAGUAUGUCAUGGGAAAACCUUAUACAGCUAGAGCAGACUGGAAACCAAAGCUGUUGAUCGUACACUAAUAAAGUGAGUAAGGGUCACAAAUUAAAUGUUAACAUUGAGACUGCAAUAGAAUGGGUGUUACUAAAUUUGGACAAAUAGGAUAAAGAAGGCUGUGGUUAAAUGGCAUUUCACUCACUGAAGCUAUUCCUGUCCCCACCCUGACCACAGGAUAUCAGGAGAUGAGGAGAAGAAUCUAAAACUAAGAAAGGUCUGAAACAGAAAUGGGUUUAAUAAGUGGAACUAAAUGCCAGGACAGAAGCUCCCAUUGAGAGCUAAGGUGACCUUAGCUCACAUUUGUUUGGCUAGCUCUGAGUACACUUACCACUGGCUCUCCUGCGGAUGAGGACAUCCAGGUUCAGCUGUUUCACAAGAAAUGACUUGUUAAGGAUAUGCAAGGUAACUCCAUGUUCCCUUUUAAACAGCUGGAGUUGUACAUUAAUUACAUCUAUCCAUAAACAUACUUUCCUCAUACUUCAACAAGAACAAAGAACAGCUGUUGAUGUCAGAGGCUUUCUCCUCCCAGAUCUUUGCAUUCAUUUCAGAUUUGACUUUCUGAGACAUAUUUUUGUCCAAAAUUUUCCAGUUCGCUUAAGAUUUUCCAACAUCAUGAGACUUUCUCAACAGUUCUGGGUGCCUAGGCCAUUCCUGCUCUGUUCAGUGCUUAGUUGGUGUAAAGCUAUAAGAACAAGCAGAAGUCUAAAGAGAAGUAGUUUAUUUACUUAUGAAAAUUGCAUUUUUACAUCCCACUGGACUCUGGCCACAUAAAGUGAGCCCUGAGGUUGUGCAACUCAUCUCCUUGCGCUCAGAAAUGUGCUCUGCAAUUUUAGGAUUUUAGCUUAGGCACACUUGAGUGACAUGAAUUGAGUGAAACAGAUCUUUCAUUCCCUAGGAGAAGUUAAAGUUUGCUUUUAUUUCAGAGGUGAAAGCGAAGUAGAAAAUAAAUUAAGACUAAGGAAAGGUGAGUUGGUUACUGAUAAUGAUUUAAAAAUAUAUACAAAAAAGUGUCCUUAGUUUUUAGCUUUUCUGUUCUAUUUUGUUUUAUAAGCAGUGGUAAUAUGGCAUAUUAUUUAGGAAAAUUCUAAAGGUUUUUCCACAAUGAAGUUUUAAUAAUUUCAAAUUUAAUAAAGUUUUCAAUUUCACCUGCAGGAAAAAUAAACUGAAUUUUACCUGCAAAAUUUGAAAAGAUUGUAUAGUCUGUAUCUAAUCCAUGGCUACAAUCCCUCCUGGUUACACUACCUGUACAAUCUCCUGUUACUUUUUCCUAAACUAUGUAUUGCAUCACUUGAAGGCAU